rnacentral:tRNA from 1 species
GAGCCUGUAGCUCAGCCAGGUAGAGCGCUGGUCUUAUAUGCCAGUGGUCAAGGGUUCAAAUCCCUUCAGGCUCA